rnacentral:rRNA from 1 species
CCUACGGGUGGCUGCAGUGGGGAAUAUUGGACAAUGGGGGCAACCCUGAUCCAGCAAUGCCGCGUGGAUGAAGAAGGUCUUCGGAUUGUAAAGUCCUUUCGGCGGGGACGAUGAUGACGGUACCCGCAGAAGAAGCCCCGGCUAACUUCGUGCCAGCAGCCGCGGUAAUACGAAGGGGGCUAGCGUUGCUCGGAAUGACUGGGCGUAAAGGGCGCGUAGGCGGUUUGAUCAGUUAGGUGUGAAAUUCCUGGGCUUAACCUGGGGGCUGCACUUAAUACGGUCAGACUUGAGUGUGAAAGAGGGUCGUGGAAUUCCCAGUGUAGAGGUGAAAUUCGUAGAUAUUGGGAAGAACACCGGUGGCGAAGGCGGCGACCUGGUUCAUUACUGACGCUGAGGCGCGAAAGCGUGGGGAGCAAACAGGAUUAGAUACCCCAGUAGUC